rnacentral:rRNA from 1 species
GAUGAACGCUGGCGGCGUGCCUAAUACAUGCCAGUCGAGCGAACAGACGAGGAGCUUGCUCCUCUGACGUUAGCGGCGGACGGGUGAGUAACACGUGGAUAACCUACCUAUAAGACUGGGAUAACUUCGGGAAACCGGAGCUAAUACUGGAUAAUAUAUUGAACCGCAUGGUUCAAUAGUGAAAGACGGUUUUGCUGUCACUUAUAGAUGGAUCCGCGCCGCAUUAGCUAGUUGGUAAGGUAACGGCUUACCAAGGCAACGAUGCGUAGCCGACCUGAGAGGGUAAUCGGCCACACUGGAACUGAGACACGGUCCAGACUCCUACGGGAGGCAGCAGUAGGGAAUCUUCCGCAAUGGGCGAAAGCCUGACGGAGCAACGCCGCGUGAGUGAUGAAGGUCUUCGGAUCGUAAAACUCUGUUAUUAGGGAAGAACAAAUGUGUAAGUAACUAUGCACGUCUUGACGGUACCUAAUCAGAAAGCCACGGCUAACUACGUG